rnacentral:rRNA from 1 species
UACGAAGGGUGCUAGCGUUGCUCGGAUUUACUGGGCGUAAAGGGCGCGUAGGCGGUUCGUACAGUCAGACGUGAAAUUCCUGGGCUCAACCUGGGGGCUGCGUUUGAUACGUGCGGACUUGAGUGCGGAAGAGGGUCGUGGAAUUCCCAGUGUAGAGGUGAAAUUCGUAGAUAUUGGGAAGAACACCGGUGGCGAAGGCGGCGACCUGGUCCGAUACUGACGCUGAGGCGCGAAAGCGUGGGGAGCAAACAGG